rnacentral:rRNA from 1 species
UACGGAGGGUGCAAACGUUGCUCGGAAUCAUUGGGCGUAAAGCGCACGUAGGCGGCCCAGCAAGUCGGGUGUGAAAGCCCUCGGCUUAACCGAGGAAGUGCAUUCGAAACUACUGAGCUUGAAUACUGGAGAGGAUCGCGGAAUUCCCGGUGUAGAGGUGAAAUUCGUAGAUAUCUGGAGGAACACCGGUGGCGAAGGCGGCUUUCUGGACAAAUACCGACGCUGAGGCACGAAAGCUAGGGGAGCAAACGGG